rnacentral:rRNA from 1 species
AGUGAACGCUGGCGGUAGGCCUAACACAUGCAAGUCGAACGGCAGCACAGUAAGAGCUUGCUCUUACGGGUGGCGAGUGGCGGACGGGUGAGGAAUACAUCGGAAUCUACUUUUUCGUGGGGGAUAACGUAGGGAAACUUACGCUAAUACCGCAUACGACCUACGGGUGAAAGCAGGGGAUCUUCGGACCUUGCGCGAUUGAAUGAGCCGAUGUCGGAUUAGCUAGUUGGCGGGGUAAAGGCCCACCAAGGCGACGAUCCGUUGCUGGUCUGAGAGGAUGAUCAGCCACACUGGAACUGAGACACGGUCCAGACUCCUACGGGAGGCAGCAGUGGGGAAUAUUGGACAAUGGGCGCAAGCCUGAUCCAGCCAUACCGCGUGGGUGAAGAAGGCCUUCGGGUUUUAAAGCCCUUUUGUUGGGAAAGAAAAGCAGCAGGUUAAUACCCCGCUGUUCUGACGGUACCCAAAGAAUAAGCACCGGCUAACUUCGUG